rnacentral:rRNA from 1 species
CCUACGGGAGGCAGCAGUGGGGAAUAUUGGGCAAUGGAGGAAACUCUGACCCAGCGACGCCGCGUGCGGGAUGAAGGCCUUCGGGUUGUAAACCGCUUUCAGUAGGGAAGAAGCGAAAGUGACGGUACCUACAAAAGAAGCACCGGCUAACUAUGUGCCAGCAGCCGCGGUAAUACAUAGGGUGCAAGCGUUGUCCGGAAUUAUUGGGCGUAAAGAGCUCGUAGGUCGUUUGUUACGUCGGAUGUGAAAACCUGAGGCUCAACCUCAGGCCUGCAUUCGAUACGGGCAAACUAGAGUUUGGUAGGGGAGACUGGAAUUCCUGGUGUAGCGGUGGAAUGCGCAGAUAUCAGGAGGAACACCAAUGGCGAAGGCAGGUCUCUGGGCCAAUACUGACACUGAGGAGCGAAAGUCUGGGGAGCGAACAGGAUUAGAUACCCUGGUAGUCCAGACCGUAAACGGUGGGCACUAGUUGUGGGAACCUUCCACGGUUUCUGCGACGCNGCUACGCAUAGUACGCCCGCCGUCGGGAGGUACGUAGUCGCGAGAGUUAAACGUACGAAGAGUAGUAAGUACGUGUUGAGUAGUUCGACGACGACGACGACGGAGGGAGGAGG